rnacentral:rRNA from 1 species
CCCUGUGACUUUACUAGGUUUAACGGCCGCGGUAUUCUGACCGUGCAAAGGUAGCGCAAUCACUAGCCUUUUAAUUGAAGGCCCGUAUGAAUGGCUAAACGAGGGUUCAACUGUCUCCUUUUCUCAGUCAAUGAAACUGAUCUCUCCGUGCAGAAGCGGGGAUUUCUACACAAGACGAGAAGACCCUAUGAAGCUUUAGACAAAGAUGAACCCGGGCCAUUAUGUCCCCCCUUCACAAGCCCGGACCGCCCGACCCCUUUAUUCUGUCUUCGGUUGGGGCGACCUAGGAGGAAAACACAGCCUCCUUGUGAUAAGGGGCAAAACCCCUACCGCCUAGAGCCACACCUCCAGGCAGCAGAACCCUGACUUUAUAGACCCGGCACUGCCGAUCAACGAAACGAGUUACUCUAGGGAUAACAGCGCAAUCCCCUCUUAGAGUCCUUAUUGAAGAGGGGGUUUACG